CUGUUUUAUCAGCAAGGUCUUUAUGACCUGCAUCUUGUGUUGACCUCCUAUCUCACCCUGUGACUCAGAAUGCCUUAACCAUCUGGGGAUGCAGCCCAGUAAGUCUCAGCCUCAUUUUACCUGGCCCCUACUCAAGAUGGGGUUGCUCUGGUUCAAACGCCUCUGACAGGGUGACAACUGUGACCACAACAGAUUCACAAACAUGACAUUUUCAGAGAGAGGAAGGUGGUUGUGCUCACCCCGCAUCAAGGUUGCUAAGCUGCUGUGAUGGAAUCCUGGAGCUGCUGAAGGACACCUCAUCUCUUUGUGGGAAGCAUCUGCUUGAGGAUUAAGGGAAUGCAGAAAAAAAGUGGAGUAGAGAGAUGGAGGAAGAUGACUUUCGAGGACAUUGUGUGAGCACCUGGAUCUAACUGUGCCUGAAGCAAAACUCAAACCCUGGACUCUCAAUGUAUUGGCUCUCAGUUCCAAGACCCAAUAAAUUCC
rnacentral:lncRNA from 10 species